CCUACGGGAGGCUGCAGUGGGGAAUAUUGGACAAUGGGCGAAAGCCUGAUCCAGCCAUGCCGCGUGUGUGAAGAAGGCCUUUGGGUUGUAAAGCACUUUCAGUGGGGAAGAAAGCCUUGGGGCUAAUACCCUCGAGGAAGGACAUCACCCACAGAAGAAGCACCGGCUAACUCCGUGCCAGCAGCCGCGGUAAUACGGAGGGUGCGAGCGUUAAUCGGAAUUACUGGGCGUAAAGCGCGCGUAGGCGGUCUGAUAAGCCGGUUGUGAAAGCCCCGGGCUCAACCUGGGAACGGCAUCCAGAACUGUCAGGCUAGAGUGCAGGAGAGGAAGGUAGAAUUCCCGGUGUAGCGGUGAAAUGCGUAGAGAUCGGGAGGAAUACCAGUGGCGAAGGCGGCCUUCUGGACUGACACUGACGCUGAGGUGCGAAAGCGUGGGUAGCAAACAGGAUUAGAUACCCUAGUAGUC
rnacentral:rRNA from 1 species